rnacentral:rRNA from 1 species
AUUGAACGCUGGCGGCAGGCCUAACACAUGCAAGUCGAGCGGAUGAGGGGAGCUUGCUCCUUGAUUCAGCGGCGGACGGGUGAGUAAUGCCUAGGAAUCUGCCUGGUAGUGGGGGACAACGUUUCGAAAGGAACGCUAAUACCGCAUACGUCCUACGGGAGAAAGCAGGGGACCUUCGGGCCUUGCGCUAUCAGAUGAGCCUAGGUCGGAUUAGCUUGUUGGUGGGGUAAUGGCUCACCAAGGCGACGAUCCGUAACUGGUCUGAGAGGAUGAUCAGCCACACUGGAACUGAGACACGGACCAGACUCCUACGGGAGGCAGCAGUGGGGAAUAUUGGACAAUGGGCGAAAGCCUGAUCCAGCCAUGCCGCGUGUGUGAAGAAGGUCUUCGGAUUGUAAAGCACUUUAAGUUGGGAGGAAGGGGAGUUAGUUUAUACCUGACUGUUUUGACGUUACCAACAGAAUAAGCACCGGCUAACUUCGUGCCAGCCGCCGCCGUAA